rnacentral:rRNA from 1 species
GGUUAAGCGACUAAGCGUACACGGUGGAUGCCCUGGCAGUCAGAGGCGAUGAAGGACGUGCUAAUCUGCGAAAAGCGUCGGUAAGGUGAUAUGAACCGUUAUAGCCGGCGAUGUCCGAAUGGGGAAACCCAGUGUGAUUCGUCACACUAUCGUUAACUGAAUACAUAGGUUAACGAGGCGAACCGGGGGAACUGAAACAUCUAAGUACCCCGAGGAAAAGAAAUCAACCGAGAUUCCCCCAGUAGCGGCGAGCGAACGGGGAGCAGCCCAGAGUCUGAAUCAGCUUGUGUGUUAGUGGAACGGUCUGGAAAGUCCGACGGUACAGGGUGAUAGUCCCGUACACCAAAAUGCACAGGCUGUGAACUCGAAGAGUAGGGCGGGACACGUGGUAUCCUGUCUGAAUAUGGGGGGACCAUCCUCCAAGGCUAAAUACUCCUGACUGACCGAUAGUGAACCAGUACCGUGAGGGAAAGGCGAAAAGAACCCCGGCGAGGGGAGUGAAAAAGAACCUGAAACCGUGUACGUACAAGCAGUGGGAGCACCUUCGGGUGUGACUGCGUACCUUUUGUAUAAUGGGUCAGCGACUUAUAUUCUGUAGCAAGGUUAACCGUAUAGGGGAGCCGCAGGGAAACCGAGUCUUAACUGGGCGUUAAGUUGCAGGGUAUAGACCCGAAACCCGGUGAUCUAGCCAUGGGCAGGUUGAAGGUUGGGUAACACUAACUGGAGGACCGAACCGACUAAUGUUGAAAAAUUAGCGGAUGACUUGUGGCUGGGGGUGAAAGGCCAAUCAAACCGGGAGAUAGCUGGUUCUCCCCGAAAGCUAUUUAGGUAGCGCCUCGUGAACUCAUCUUCGGGGGUAGAGCACUGUUUCGGCUAGGGGGUCAUCCCGACUUACCAACCCGAUGCAAACUACGAAUACCGAAGAAUGUUAUCACGGGAGACACACGGCGGGUGCUAACGUCCGUCGUGAAGAGGGAAACAACCCAGACCGCCAGCUAAGGUCCCAAAGUCAUGGUUAAGUGGGAAACGAUGUGGGAAGGCACAGACAGCCAGGAUGUUGGCUUAGAAGCAGCCAUCAUUUAAAGAAAGCGUAAUAGCUCACUGGUCGAGUCGGCCUGCGCGGAAGAUGUAACGGGGCUAAACCAUGCACCGAAGCUGCGGCAGCGACACUAUGUGUUGUUGGGUAGGGGAGCGUUCUGUAAGCCUGCGAAGGUGUGCUGUGAGGCAUGCUGGAGGUAUCAGAAGUGCGAAUGCUGACAUAAGUAACGAUAAAGCGGGUGAAAAGCCCGCUCGCCGGAAGACCAAGGGUUCCUGUCCAACGUUAAUCGGGGCAGGGUGAGUCGACCCCUAAGGCGAGGCCGAAAGGCGUAGUCGAUGGGAAACAGGUUAAUAUUCCUGUACUUGGUGUUACUGCGAAGGGGGGACGGAGAAGGCUAUGUUAGCCGGGCGACGGUUGUCCCGGUUUAAGCAUGUAGGCUGAUUGUCCAGGCAAAUCCGGAUAAUCAAGGCUGAGGUGUGAUGACGAGGCACUACGGUGCUGAAGUAACAAAUGCCCUGCUUCCAGGAAAAGCCUCUAAGCAUCAGGUAACAUUAAAUCGUACCCCAAACCGACACAGGUGGUCAGGUAGAGAAUACCAAGGCGCUUGAGAGAACUCGGGUGAAGGAACUAGGCAAAAUGGUGCCGUAACUUCGGGAGAAGGCACGCUGGUGUGUAGGUGAAGUCCCUGCGGAUGGAGCUGAGACCAGUCGAAGAUACCAGCUGGCUGCAACUGUUUAUUAAAAACACAGCACUGUGCAAACACGAAAGUGGACGUAUACGGUGUGACGCCUGCCCGGUGCCGGAAGGUUAAUUGAUGGGGUUAUCCGUAAGGAGAAGCUCUUGAUCGAAGCCCCGGUAAACGGCGGCCGUAACUAUAACGGUCCUAAGGUAGCGAAAUUCCUUGUCGGGUAAGUUCCGACCUGCACGAAUGGCGUAAUGAUGGCCAGGCUGUCUCCACCCGAGACUCAGUGAAAUUGAACUCGCUGUGAAGAUGCAGUGUACCCGCGGCAAGACGGAAAGACCCCGUGAACCUUUACUAUAGCUUGACACUGAACAUUGAGCCUUGAUGUGUAGGAUAGGUGGGAGGCUUUGAAGCGUGGACGCCAGUCUGCGUGGAGCCAACCUUGAAAUACCACCCUUUAAUGUUUGAUGUUCUAACGUUGGCCCCUUACCGGGGUUGCGGACAGUGUCUGGUGGGUAGUUUGACUGGGGCGGUCUCCUCCCAAAGCGUAACGGAGGAGCACGAAGGUUAGCUAAUCCUGGUCGGACAUCAGGAGGUUAGUGCAAUGGCAUAAGCUAGCUUGACUGCGAGCGUGACGGCGCGAGCAGGUGCGAAAGCAGGUCAUAGUGAUCCGGUGGUUCUGAAUGGAAGGGCCAUCGCUCAACGGAUAAAAGGUACUCCGGGGAUAACAGGCUGAUACCGCCCAAGAGUUCAUAUCGACGGCGGUGUUUGGCACCUCGAUGUCGGCUCAUCACAUCCUGGGGCUGAAGUAGGUCCCAAGGGUAUGGCUGUUCGCCAUUUAAAGUGGUACGCGAGCUGGGUUUAGAACGUCGUGAGACAGUUCGGUCCCUAUCUGCCGUGGGCGCUGGAGAAUUGAGGGGGGCUGCUCCUAGUACGAGAGGACCGGAGUGGACGCAUCACUGGUGUUCGGGUUGUCAUGCCAAUGGCACUGCCCGGUAGCUAAAUGCGGAAGAGAUAAGUGCUGAAAGCAUCUAAGCACGAAACUUGCCCCGAGAUGAGUUCUCCCUGAGACUUUAAGUCUCCUGAAGGAACGUUGAAGACGACGACGUUGAUAGGCCGGGUGUGUAAGCGCAGCGAUGCGUUGAGCUAACCGGUACUAAUGAACCGUGAGGCUUAACCUUAC